rnacentral:rRNA from 1 species
GUUGGCUUGGAAGCAGCCAUUCAUUCAAAGAGUGCGUAACAGCUCACUAGUCGAGAGACCGGGCAUGGAUAAUAAUCGGGUAUUAAGUCAGAUACCGAAGGCACGGGGUAGCAGAGUAAUGAAAAGUACCGGUAGGGGAGCAUUCCACCUCCGUCGAAUGGUUUCCGUGAGGAUUCCUGGAGGGCGUGGAAAAGCAAAUGUAGGCAUAAGUAACGACUAGGGGCGUGAGAACCGCCCCCGCCGCAAGUCUAAGGUUUCCCGGGCGAUGCCAGUCAGCCCGGGGUCAGUCGGGUCCUAAGGCUCAGCCGAACGGCGAGGCCGAUGGCAGACACGGUUAAUAUUCCGUGACCCUCUGCUGGAGCGACGUGGAGACGGAGCAGUGACACCACCGCGCCCUGACGGAAUAGGGCGUUGAAGGCCGUAGGUGCAGACAAGGGCAGGCAAAUCCACCCUUUGAGCUGAAAGCCGACAGUACGCUUCCUCCUUCGGGAGGCGGCGACAGCGUGGGUAACCAUACUUCCUAGAAAAUCCGCUAAGCAUAUCCAUCGGAGGCCCGUACCGCAAUCCGACACAGGUAGACGGGUAGAACAUACUGAGGCGUUGGGAGAUUCAUGGCUAAGGAACUAGGCAAACUGACCCCGUAACUUCGGGAUAAGGGGUCCUCACGGCAACGUGAGGCGCAGAGAAUAGGCCCAGGCAACUGUUUAACAAAAACACAGGGCUGUGCAAACUCGAAAGAUGAUGUAUACAGCCUGACACCUGCCCGGUGCCGGAAGGUUAAGAGGAGGAGUCAGCCCCUUGUGGGUGAAGCCCCGAGUUGAAGCCCCGGUAAACGGCGGCCGUAACUAUAACGGUCCUAAGGUAGCGAAAUUCCUUGUCGGGUAAGUUCCGACCUGCACGAAUGGUGUAAUGAUCCGGACGCUGUCUCAACCAUGAGCUCAGUGAAAUUGUAGUAUCGGUGAAGAUGCCGAUUACCCGCGAUGGGACGAAAAGACCCCGUGAACCUUUACUACAGCUUAGCGCUGACCUUGGUCAUCCGAUGUGUAGGAUAGGCCGGAGGCUUCGAAGCGGGGACGCCAGUCUUCGUGGAGCCGCCCUUGAAAUACGGCCCUUUGGCUGUCCGAGGUCUAACGCGCGUUUUGCGCGGACACCGCUUGGCGGGUAGUUUGACUGGGGUGGUCGCCUCCAAAAGUGUAACGGAGGCUUCCAAAGGUGCCCUCAGGCCGAUUGGUAACCGGCCUCUAGAGUGCAAUGGCAUAAGGGCGCUUGACUGGGAGGGAGACAUCCCGAGCAGGCAGGAAACUGGGGCAUAGUGAUCCGGCGGACGCGUAUGGAAGCUCCGUCGCUCAAAGGAUAAAAGGUACUCCGGGGAUAACAGGCUGAUCCCCCCCA